GUUAAAGUGACAAGCAGAUUUUACCAGGCUCCUUGGAUGCAGACCAUGGACGUGGCUUCAAGAGGCUUUGGCUGGUUGGUUGUUGCAGUCUGGGUUAAAAGAGGAACCGUUACGUUUUCUGGCCACACCGUCUGACAGAGGGAAGCAGGCACGCGGUUGGAAGGGAGACGUGUGCCCAGCCCCAGACUCUGGGCGCUGUCUGUGUGUGUCCCCUCUCGUGUGUUCUCAGGCCCCGCCGGGCCUGCCUGCGGAGACUCAUUGCAGGUAAUCCCACCUGUCUCCCCCCUGUUCCCAACUCAGACCGCUGCCUCGCAGCUCUCCCGAGGCUGCCCGGCUCCCUCCUGCUGGCCCUUGUCUGGUGUGACAGACAGCCCAACACGCUGAACCAUCCUGACCUCCUUGCCGCCUUGCCUGACUGCACUGCCCGGGCUGCCUCCCUCGCCUGCCACUGCACACUCAGCAGCCCCGGACUCCCGAAGCAUGUUCCUGGGGGUGGCUUCUGAAAGGACACUGUUCCCAGCAGGAGAGCACUGAGGGACAGGAAGUCACUCUGGAUAUGAGGAAUUCUCAUUCCACCUUUGGAUGCUGCUGGCUGGUAACUGGGAGUCAGAACCUCUGUGUGGGGGAAAUCAGAUGCCUUAACGAUGUCAUCAUUUGGCCUGGAAAAGAACCAGUGGCCCUAAAGGGUCCCAUUGUUCCCUGACACAGUGGCUGAAGGGAACGGCACUUGCUGAGCAAAGAGGCCACAUCUGCAGCUGGUCACGAAUAGAUGUGGCUGGAAUCUUAACAUCGGGAGAACAUGCCGGAAUGGCUUCGUGGAUGUGAUUCCUCAUUUCCAAAGAGGCUCCCACAUCUGUCAUGUGCUUUCUUGCCACCCCAAAUAAAAAGAGCUCAAUGCUUUUUACGAGCUGGAGCCCAUUUCUGCAUUCCUUGAAUCCAGCCUGGUCUCCUGACUUGCUUUGACCAACAGAAUGGAGGUGGAAGCAAUGGAAUUGCUCUGAACCCAGGCUUCCAGGUGUCCAGAGCGUCCUUGUGUUGCUGCCACCUGGCUGGGCUUCCCGGCAUUGCCGCGAGCGUCUCCUCCUCCCGCUUUCUGACGUUGAUAUGUCAUUUCCAAACGUUCCUGAAGGACUGUGAGGAAGCGGAUUCUGCCACAGCCUGAAUUGGCCGGGAGGCAGAACCCCGCCAGAGCCUCCACACAUGGGCACGGCCUGCCCGAACCCUGAUUUUGGCCUCGUGAGACCCUAAGCAGAGACCCAGCCAGACCCACUGAACUGCUGACCUGUGGAAACUGUGGGUAAUAAGUCUGAGUUGUGUUAAGCCUCUGAGUUCGUGGUAAUUUUUAUGGCAGCGAUAGGAAAUGAACACACCUGGUGUCCUGGCACGGGGCCUCUCAGGACAGAAAACACCAGUGCUGCCCUCCCAGGAAUCCGCCCACGCUGCCAAGGCAAACUGCUGUGAGUUUCGUUCCUGGCGGGGUCUCCUCUAGACAGCGCCAUGCCCUCCCUGGGCCGGCACCAGAAUUUUCCAAGCACAGGUAGGUGCCAACAACCCCAUCCCGAGUUAGACGUCUGCUAUGGCUGAACGGGAGUGCAAAGCCGUCCCUCCAACUGCUGCUGGUGGAUUUGUCUCAUCAAGCUUGUAAGUUGUACUGGGAACUAUUUUUGUUUUAAAAAAAUUAGUUUUAAGGUUCCUGGGAGAAAGCAGGUUUUAAUAGAGGGAGAAAGCUCGGCUGGGGGUGGGGUGGGUCCUCAUCUGCAGGUUUGCUUGGUCCGGGCAGUCACAGCCCAGAGCCUGGGAGUCUGUGCAGGAAAGUCAAGGGCAGCCGUGGGCAGAGCCCAGACAGGGCACAGGGUGGGGGGGACCUUGUUAAUGAAUGAUGAACACCAGCUAUCAUUUUCACUCAUUAAUUUUUUUAAAAACUAUAAAGAUAUUAUUGUACAAUACAGAAGUGUAUUAAAUAAAUAUGGAAGUGCAUCUUCCCAAUCUUACAUCCCACAGACAGCCACUGUUACCAGUUUGCAGUUUUUCAUUCCAGACAUCUUCUGUGCGUACAAACCUGCUGUCUCACUUUCUCGCUCUCUUGCUUUCUUGUAUUCUUUCUCUAUCCUAUUAAAACUGUGUUAUAGAUAUUUCCCCAAGCUUCGAGUUACAAAUCAACAUUCUUUCAACAAUUGCAGAGUUUCCUUUAUGCAGAUACACUGGCCCCAGUCGAGGAUCAUGUGUGGUAGGUUGUGAUCAUGUCUCACCAUUGCACGUCUGCGGGAGGAGCUGCCAGGGCGCAGUCCGUCUGCAUUUUAGAUUAGACAGAGAUUGCUGAAUCUUUUGAGCCUUGGCACUUUAGUUCACUCCCUUUCUGACUCCAUCCUACAGUCGCCUUGCAGGCUUGGGGACGUGUCACUCCAAGAGUGCCCGCUCGUACCUCCCUGGACUCUGCUCUCACAUGUUCCUAAAACCUCAGGAUUUGAAGCAGAUUCCUACUAAGCUCAAAGCUCCAUCCCAUUUCAUCCCAGAGGAUUACUACUGCCACUGGUUUCUGCUCAGUCUGAUGUGUUGCCAUCAGCUGGUAAAAUAGUCCUCGCUCAGCAUGCAGGCUGGUCUCCAGGCCCCAGGACCCCACUGGAAAGGCCGUCCCUGAGUGCCACCCCGCAAGGCACACCUGCUCCUGCUGCAGCUCACACGUCACCUCCUUGGCUCCUGCCCCCACCAUCCUAGGUCUGCACUGCCUGGCGGAGCGCCUGCUGGGCUGAGCUCACUGCGGACGGAGGGCUGCAAGUUCUGGGGAGGAAGGAUCUUCUGUGAUGGCUACUCCCGGGAGGCCGUCUGCCAUCUUCUGUGCUGCCCUUCCCUGCGGCCAGGAAGGACAGGGCCGAGGGGAACCAGCUCUAACAUUUUGGGGGCUCGUCC